GGGAUCAGAAAGAUGCUCAUCAGGAGGCAUCCAGCACCCUGGGAAUGUGAGGACGGUACAGUCACCGUGUGACGUAGGGCCUUGGUCCCAUUCCCUUCCAGCCUCAAUGGGCCUGUGAAGACGGAAGCCGAGCCAUACAUUCAAAGGAAAAAGGAAGAGGGACUCACAAUUUUUGAGGACAGAUCUGCUGAGAGUCAGGAAUCUGGUGGAGCUUUACCCUACUAGUAGUGGAGGGGGCAAGAGAGGGUGAACUACAGAUGUGAAUAUAUUUGAGGGGCAGCAUGAUCUGGAGAGCAUGUGGAGAGAAGAAGGAAAAUACACACGUUUCCAUUUUGACUGUGAGUCAACGCCGUUUCAUGCAGUGGAAUAAGUGCCUUGAGGGCUGGGGAAAAAAGGUGUUUGCACCAUUUCCAUUCAACUGAGUCAUGUGCCCCAUGAAUGGAGUUUGGGGUAAGGGAAUGAACUCACCACUGACUCUGUUUCCCGUGUUUCCCAUGUUUUCCUGUCCCCUUAUUUCCUUGUUUCACAUGAGAGAAGAGUGAUUUCUUUGAGAUCCUGAAGGGUGAGAUCAAAGCCACUUGUCUGCCAGACAGGACACUGGACACUGGAUCAAGAGAGACAGGAGACCUUCCUGUUCAUGUCUGACCCUACAGUACCAUCCAGGAGAUCUCCCUGGGUCCCGGGGGCAGACCUCACCUCAAAACUCUGGGAUGACCUUGGGAGGAGAAGUCAGAGAUUCAAAGUACAAGAAAGAUUAAAUGUGCUGUUGCAAACAAAAAAUUUUGCAAUUUGUAUGGAAACACAAAAGACCCCGAAUAGCCAAAGCAAUCUUGAGAACGAAAGAAGGAACUGGAGGAAUCAGGCUCCCUGACU